CAAGUUCCCGAGGGCUGUGCGGGCGAACUGGCCUGGGAGCCCCAAAAGUGGGAGGGGCAAGGCCGUCCCCCGCCUUCCCUGCUCCGUGGGUGCCCCCUGGGCCGGCCGUUUCCACAUCUCCCGGGCUGCCACGGCCUGGGACCGAGCCGGGCGCGCACCGGCGCCCGCGCCGCCCCGAAGCCCGACUGCCACAGCCCGGCCCGCCGGCCCAGAGCCGCGCGGCCGCUCCGACCCGCCGGCCAGGCCGGUCCUCGCCCCCAGGCCCCGGCCCCGCCCGCUCGGGCCUCCGCGCGCCGCCCCCCGGCUCGCCACCACCCUCGGGCAGGGGGCAGGGGGCAGGGGGCCGGGGGCACCGGGGCUCCGGGCCGCGCGGCGGCGUCCCCGCGCCUACCUCAGCGACCGCGGCUCCUCCUCCCGGGGCUGCCUCAGCUGGCGGACGGCGCUCGCCUACCGGACUCGCAGCGGCGCGGGAUCUGGGCUGCGGGCGCGGCGUGUGAGGAGCCGAGGCCCGAGCGCGCCCCGUCCAGCCGCCCGCCCGACCGCCCGUCAGUCACCUCCUCCCCCUGGCGCCCGCCCGCCAGGCCCCGCCCCGCCCCGCCCGCCCGUCAGGCCCCGCCCCGCCCCGCCCGCCCGCCAGGCCCCGCCCACCCCGCCCGCCAGGCCCCGCCCACCCCGCCGGCCCGAGCCGGGAAGGGGGCCGCCGAGGGGCGCCGCGAGAGCCGCAGGGUCUGCCUCCCGUGGGGGCCUUCGAUACCCGGCGGGGCCCCCACUAGGGACGUGAUUCGUGGUGCUUGCUGCGAAGUCUCUUCGCUCGGGUUUGUCGUUACUGCGAUUUUCCUGCCGUUAUCAUUUUGUGAUCGUUGUUAUUGGCCCCGUCAUUGGUUCUUUCACCCUCCCGGAGCCCGCAGCAGCAUUCGGUGGAGGCGGGAGAUGGCGGACACGCAGCCCCUUCCUGCAGACCCGACUCUCCUGGUCGCCCGGGACUCCCAGGGGCCCGCACCUGUGCCACUGCCUUGUGAAGUCGACCAGUUGGGAGUGAAAAAGAAGAUACGUCCUGCCCAGGGAGCUCUCAGUCAAAAGAAAAAGGAAGCCCUCAGCCCAAGUGGGCUGCAGCCUGAUACUCCGAUAAUCUUGCCUGUUCUCAGGUGUUGUCUUCUCUGGCUGGAUCAGUGGAAGACAGUGGUGAAAAUGCUGGUUUAAUGAGCAGCACCCAAGUGACAGACUGGUCCUCCCUCAGCUCACGCUCUCUCUCUUUCUGAACUCCUAGCUCAAAGAUAUCUUUCUUCCUUCUCUCCAGGAGGAUGACAAACACAAAGCAGCUCUUUGUUUCAGACUUGAAAACUCAGUGUUUCUUUUCACCUAAUUAGAAGGAAGUGUUUUUCCAUUCGCUUCAUUUUCUUACUGGAAUUUGCUAAACGGGAGCUGAGUAGUUUAGACUGAAUGUAAGGUUUGUUCAUUAAUUAACUAUCUCCAAUUCUUAUCAAGACUUAAUAUCUAACCGAGCACUGGCUAAACCAGAAAGAGGGCUCAAAACUGCUCAUAGGUUCUGCUGUGAUGGGACAGCACCUUCAAGGCAGUGUAGCAGCUCUAUUUUCUCUACUGGAAGCUAUUCUGAAGACUUAGACUCUCCCAG
rnacentral:lncRNA from 12 species